UACAUGCAGUCGAGCGAACAGAAAGGGAGCUUGCUCCCGGAUGUUAGCGGCGGACGCCCCUCCUAAAGGUGGGUAACCUGCCUGUAAGACUGGGAUAACCCCUUGUAAACCGGAGCUAAUACCGGAUAGUUCCUUGAACCGCAUGGUUCAAGGAUGAAAGACGGUUUCGGCUGUCACUUACAGAUGGACCCGCGGCGCAUUAGCUAGUUGGUGGGGUAAUGGCUCACCAAGGCGACGAUGCGUAGCCGACCUGAGAGGGUGAUCGGCCACACUGGGACUGAGACACGGCCCAGACUCCUACGGGAGGCAGCAGUAGGGAAUCUUCCGCAAUGGACGAAAGUCUGACGGAGCAACGCCGCGUGAGUGAUGAAGGUUUUCGGAUCGUAAAGCUCUGUUGUUAGGGAAGAACAAGUGCGAGAGUAACUGCUCGCACCUUGACGGUACCUAACCAGAAAGCCACGGCUAACUACGUGCCAGCAGCCGCGGUAAUACGUAGGUGGCAAGCGUUGUCCGGAAUUAUUGGGCGUAAAGGGCUCGCAGGCGGUUUCUUAAGUCUGAUGUGAAAGCCCCCGGCUCAACCGGGGAGGGUCAUUGGAAACUGGGAAACUUGAGUGCAGAAGAGGAGAGUGGAAUUCCACGUGUAGCGGUGAAAUGCGUAGAGAUGUGGAGGAACACCAGUGGCGAAGGCGACUCUCUGGUCUGUAACUGACGCUGAGGAGCGAAAGCGUGGGGAGCGAACAGGAUUAGAUACCCUGGUAGUCCACGCCGUAAACGAUGAGUGCUAAGUGUUAGGGGGUUUCCGCCCCUUAGUGCUGCAGCUAACGCAUUAAGCACUCCGCCUGGGGAGUACGGUCGCAAGACUGACACUCAAAGGAAUUGACGGGGGCCCGCACAAGCGGUGGAGCAUGUGGUUUAAUUCGAACCAACGCGAAGAACCUUACCAGGUCUUGACAUCCUCUGACAACCCUUAGAGAUAGGGCUUUCCCUUCGGGGACCGAGUGACCGGCGGCGCAUGGUUGUCGUCAGCCCGUGUCGUGAAAUGUUGGGUUAACUCCCGCAACGAGCGCAACCCUUGAUCUUAGUUGCCAGCAUUUAGUUGGGCACUCUAAGGUGACUGCCGGUGACAAACCGGAGGAAGGUGGGGAUGACGUCAAAUCAUCAUGCCCCUUAUGACCUGGGCUACACACGUGCUACAAUGGACAGAACAAAGGGCUGCGAGACCGCAAGGUUUAGCCAAUCCCAUAAAUCUGUUCUCAGUUCGGAUCGCAGUCUGCAACUCGACUGCGUGAAGCUGGAAUCGCUAGUAAUCGCGGAUCAGCAUGCCGCGGUGAAUACGUUCCCGGGCCUUGUACACACCGCCCGUCACACCACGAGAGUUUGUAACACCCGAAGUCGGUGAGGUAACCUUUAUGGAGCCAGCCGCCGAAGGUGGGACAGAUGAUGGGGUGAAGUCGUAACA
rnacentral:rRNA from 2 species